rnacentral:sRNA from 1 species
AAGAGACUUGGGAUCUCCUCUCAUGUUUUUUUCAUCUGAAAGACCUCAUGUUCAGCUGCACAGUGUUCCGUUACAUCCUGUUGGGCCAUUAGUUCAGUCCUGUCAUGGAGAGAAGAAAGUCACCUACAAAGACUUGGAAGCUACCUCUGCAGCAUUCCUGGUAUUCCUUGAAAAUCUCCUGUUUCAGAACCAAGUUGCUCCAGCCUUACCCUGAGAACUGGCAUGAGUGUAGUUUGAAAUUUAGAUGUCUUUUAUUUUUUCCUUUUUACUAAUAAAGCUCAUAAGGUAUUUUCAUAUUCUAGUUAUAAAACUGAAAAGUCUGCAAGUAGUGAUCCAGGAAGGUAGGAAAUUAUUCCCUGGGAGACAGGAAAGCACACAAGGAGGUGUUCCCUGUCUUGGCUGCCAAGCACUGUAUCAUGCAGGCCAAUGCUGAGUACCAUCAGUCUAUCCUGGCAAAACAGCAGAAGAAAUUUGGAGAAGAAAUUGCAAGGUUACAGCAUGCAGCAGAACUGAUUAAAACAGUGGCAUCUCGCUAUGAUGAAUAUGUUAAUGUGAAGGAUUUUUCUGACAAAAUCAAUCGUGCCCUUACUGCAGCAAAGAAGGAUAAUGACUUCAUUUAUCAUGAU